rnacentral:rRNA from 1 species
UACGGGGGGAGCAAGCGUUGUUCGGAUUUACUGGGCGUAAAGGGCGCGUAGGCGGCGCAACAAGUCACUUGUGAAAUCUCCGGGCUUAACCCGGAGCGGUCAAGUGAUACUGUCGUGCUAGAGUGCGGAAGGGGCAACUGGAAUUCUCGGUGUAGCGGUGAAAUGCGUAGAUAUCAAGAGGAACACCUGAGGUGAAGACGGGUUGCUGGGCCAACACUGACGCUGAUGCGCGAAAGCCAGGGGAGCAAACGGG